ACCCGAAACCCGGUGAUCUAGCCAUGGGCAGGUUGAAGGUUGGGUAACACUAACUGGAGGACCGAACCGACUAAUGUUGAAAAAUUAGCGGAUGACUUGUGGCUGGGGGUGAAAGGCCAAUCAAACCGGGAGAUAGCUGGUUCUCCCCGAAAGCUAUUUAGGUAGCGCCUCGUGAAUUCAUCUCCGGGGGUAGAGCACUGUUUCGGCAAGGGGGUCAUCCCGACUUACCAACCCGAUGCAAACUGCGAAUACCGGAGAAUGUUAUCACGGGAGACACACGGCGGGUGCUAACGUCCGUCGUGAAGAGGGAAACAACCCAGACCGCCAGCUAAGGUCCCAAAGUCAUGGUUAAGUGGGAAACGAUGUGGGAAGGCCCAGACAGCCAGGAUGUUGGCUUAGAAGCAGCCAUCAUUUAAAGAAAGCGUAAUAGCUCACUGGUCGAGUCGGCCUGCGCGGAAGAUGUAACGGGGCUAAACCAUGCACCGAAGCUGCGGCAGCGACGCUGAUGCGUUGUUGGGUAGGGGAGCGUUCUGUAAGCCUGCGAAGGUGUGCUGUGAGGCAUGCUGGAGGUAUCAGAAGUGCGAAUGCUGACAUAAGUAACGAUAAAGCGGGUGAAAAGCCCGCUCGCCGGAAGACCAAGGGUUCCUGUCCAACGUUAAUCGGGGCAGGGUGAGUCGACCCCUAAGGCGAGGCCGAAAGGCGUAGUCGAUGGGAAACAGGUUAAUAUUCCUGUACUUGGUGUUACUGCGAAGGGGGGACGGAGAAGGCUAUGUUGGCCGGGCGACGGUUGUCCCGGUUUAAGCGUGUAGGCUGGUUUUCCAGGCAAAUCCGGAAAAUCAAGGCUGAGGCGUGAUGACGAGGCACUACGGUGCUGAAGCAACAAAUGCCCUGCUUCCAGGAAAAGCCUCUAAGCAUCAGGUAACAUCAAAUCGUACCCCAAACCGACACAGGUGGUCAGGUAGAGAAUACCAAGGCGCUUGAGAGAACUCGGGUGAAGGAACUAGGCAAAAUGGUGCCGUAACUUCGGGAGAAGGCACGCUGAUAUGUAGGUGAAGUCCCUUGCGGAUGGAGCUGAAAUCAGUCGAAGAUACCAGCUGGCUGCAACUGUUUAUUAAAAACACAGCACUGUGCAAACACGAAAGUGGACGUAUACGGUGUGACGCCUGCCCGGUGCCGGAAGGUUAAUUGAUGGGGU
rnacentral:rRNA from 1 species